CACAGGGAGGAGGAACACAAGGAGCAGGCAGGCAGAAAGGCAGGGGAAGCCAUGAUGGAUCUGAGAGCCACAAACAAGGGGGCCGAGCCUGCAGCCGGGACGCCGGAGAUGGACCGAACUGUGGCUUUGGACGCAGAAGUGGUGGGCAUGUCGAAUUCCACGUCUACAUAGCGGAUAAAACUGGAAGGCACUUCCCGGUCAGAGCCAAGCUCUAGGUGACAGAAGAAGCAGUGAGGAUGGCCAGAAGCUGGAAAAAGAGAGCAAACAUACAUGAAAGUUGUGUUGGUUGGAUCAGAAAAGACCACAUCUAGGAGGAAGCAACACCAUGAAACAGCAAAAUACAGAUGAUCUGCCUGGGGGAACUAGUUUGUGGCAAGCGACAGUAUCUUACCUGUUUCAAUGCCAUUGAAACUCCAUACUUUGGAGUUUCCAUACCAAUUAAACAAAAUAAACCACUAAAAUAACUGCCA